UACGUAGGGUGCAAGCGUUAAUCGGAAUUACUGGGCGUAAAGCGUGCGCAGGCGGUGAUGUAAGACAGGUGUGAAAUCCCCGGGCUUAACCUGGGAACUGCAUUUGUGACUGCAUCGCUGGAGUGCGGCAGAGGGGGAUGGAAUUCCGCGUGUAGCAGUGAAAUGCGUAGAUAUGCGGAGGAACACCGAUGGCGAAGGCAAUCCCCUGGGCCAACACUGACGCUCAGGCACGAAAGCGUGGGGAGCAAACAGG
rnacentral:rRNA from 1 species